AUUUAAACGGUAGAAGUACGUACUUUCGAUUGUAGCGGCACGAUCACUGACGGCGUCUGCGUUUGGUUGAUGCAGGGAAUGAUUGGGUGGAAGACCGAAAUCGUAAUGCAGAUUUGCGGUGGCCUCAUAUUUGCAAACACAAGCAAUGGAUAUGGAUGACCGACCUAGGACCUGUGCCAAAUGGGAAGCAAUGCAUUUAUGGUUAAACUUAAUCAUGUUACGAUGUGGUUCAGGUUCCGUCACGAGUUUCGCGCUGCAUGAUGCAGUUAAGAUUGCGUCCAGUGAAUUUGCGAUCGCAAUUUGAGGUGUUAUUGCGUGAGAAAAUUGUGAAGGUCAUUUCCUUGACUGGGAUUUGUCGGGAAUAAGCAGGUUUGUCCCUAAAUGUUUGCGAGAAGGCAACUUGUGGAAGAAGUGGUACAUUUUUUAACGAACUUUAUGUAUGCAGGUAUUUGUGGUUAAAUGCAAAAGUAUGUUUUUAUUCUGCAUUUGAAUGUUCAAAAAGUGUUAAGAGGCAUUUUAAUUUGGCUUGGUUAAUGUUACACUUGGUGCAUUUUAAGAGUAUUUAUUUUUAAUGGUAUUGAUCUCGGUCUGAUUCUUAUAAUUAUAAAUAUACAUAAACUUGUAUAAAUGGGUUUUAGUUUAAUUUUUGGCUGUAAUUACCUAAUUUACAGAGAAGUUAAUGUACAUUAUGAAAGUGAAAAUGUUUUGAAAUUAAUAUAAAGAUGACAAAAAAUUACCAGUAAAAUAUUGUAAGAUGUCAUUUAUUAUGAUACCUUCAGUUCCUUCAGAAUUUAAAUGGAAAUGACUAUUUAUUGAAAGUCCAGCUGCCCAGUUUAAUAUGCGUACAUGUUAUUUUCAUCUAGUGUAAAUUCUGCUUCUUAAAAGGUCUGAAUGGCCAUUCACGGGAAACUGGUUGUAGAAGUUAUUAGCUCACUUUUAAACUGUUAACUGGUAGUUACUCCAAGAAAGUAAGAAAGUUAAUAGGUAGACUGCAGGGUGUCUAUUAGCAACUCCAAGAAAGUAAGAAAGUUAAUAGGUAGACUGCAGGGUGUCUAUUAGCAAUGUGGGUGAUACAGGUUUUUUGUUUUGAUAUUUCACUGUCUGAGCUACUGAUACUUAACAAUUCAGGAUGCAAGUUUAAGUUGCAUACACUGGUUUAUUUUGAGUAUAUGUACUUAAUCUCAGACUUGCAAACCAUGCAUUGUGUAAUGACAAAUGCAGGUCAAUGGCGGGAUUAGUUAAUGGAAUACCAUAGAUAAUGGAACACAAAGAUUUGAUAUUUAAUGUUGCCCUUUUACAAUGUAAAUUCAGUUUUUAUUGUCAAUAUAGGACUUUACAAAGAAAUAUGCCUGUGUGCAUAUGCUGAUUAAAUGACUUAGUGUAAAACUAAUUAAGAAACUUUUGCCAUUGUCUUCUGAAAAUUUUUAAUCAAUUGACCACUGAAAAUUUUUAAUCAAUUGACCACAUGUUGGAAUGUUGAGCAAGUGGUGUGUUAUGACUUAAUGCAUUAAUUGGUACAUUUCAUAGUUAUUGGUGAUAACACUAAGACACCUUUAAAUUUCAUGUCAUAUGGAAUCUUGGUGCCUUAUGGUGAGUUAACAUAAUAUAACUGACUGCUGCUCAUUGAAGUAAUUAUAUUAUGCAAAUUGACCUUUUCUCUCCCAAGACAAUUGGAAUGGUAGCAAUGUGUGUAUGGUUUAAGCUUUUAUGGCAUUUUUCUUGAUUUUAUGUAUAUGGUUUUUGAAUUUAAGAAAGCAUAGUUUGAUUAGUGUUUAUUAAGUAUUUAUAUUAGUAGACACCCUGGUUUUAAUAUCUGUAUUGUGUGGUUUAGUAUAACAGUGAUGCAAGGAGGAUAACAAUAUGGGAGGGUGUACUCUCUCCUGUUGGUUUUACUGGGCAGUGUUGGCAUUUUAGACAUUUCCAUGGCAUCCCUUACACUCUUACCAGGUUUAUUGGCUUCAAUUCUAGUGGCUGGCAACAUGAGUUUAGCUUUAAUUGGUGAAAUACAUAUUUAGGGUUUUACUUAGAUAAUUGCUCAUUGUUAAAGGUUGAUAUAUUUUGUUAGGUGGUAGUAUUUUUAUAUCAAGAAUACACUUAGUUUUUUGCCAAGUUAAACAGUGUAGUUUGGUACACACAAAGUUUUGAAGUCAUCUUAACCUGGUAUAAAUUAUAUAUACAUGUAAUAACAUAAACACAAUAAAAGAUAUUUUUUGGUAAGUAGUCUUUGAAGAUCAACUGCAGUUUCCAGUGUUACCAGUCACCUGUGUAGGUGUUAAGAGCACCUCAGCUUUGCAAGUAAUUUAAGGUAAACUCUUAUUUGAAUACCCACAGUAAAAUUUUUUAAGAUAGAAUUGACACCAUUUUUAUUAUAUUUAAUACAUUGUUUAGAUUCUUUGGUCAUAAAAAUCUAAAUCCUCAAUGUCAAAGUGUUCUAAAUUUUGCGUAUACAUUUGAGAAGCUUUGCUGGUAGGUAGGAUUUUUUGAAGGAAUUUCAAAAGUACAGUACUUAUUGUAAAAUGGCUAAGGUAAUGAAUAUUUUAGUUUUGAUAUCUACAUGACCACGAUGGUUAUCAAACAUUUUUCAUAUACAUAAUAGCUCAUUUUACAUGUGUAAGUGAAAAGGUUAGAGUAAUUUUUUUUACCAUCUUUUUUUUUUUUAGCCUUAAUACUUGAUGGUAUCAUAAACACUUUACAGAGCGAUAUAAUGGCAAUAAUAGCAACAAGUUCCAAAGAAAUUACAUUUUGUUCUGAACCUAAUGUUUUGGUUCUGUCAUGGAUAUAAAAAUAUAUCAAUUUUAAUUGUAAAUGGACUGCAAAUGUAUGUAGGGUUAUAAAAUGGGAUAAAUAAUUGAAAACAUACUUAAAAUCUUUACCAUGAGAAGAUUUUUGUGCUAAGUAAUAUAAUUUAGUGCAAAAACAUUUUUUUUAAUUUGUGCUGUUUGUGUGCAUUUUCAAAAAUUCUUAAAAUUUUUUUUUUUUGAAUUUUACACUAAUGAGUUGAACAAUUUAAAGGAUUAAAUUUAACUGUCUAAGUUUUAAGUUUUUAAAGCAUUUUAUUGAAUAUAUUCUGUGCAUAAUGAUUUUAAGUUUUUCAAGUUCAGUUUAUUUUAGUGGAUAUAUGCUUGCUAGGGAAUGCUUCUUGCCAAUUCAUUGGUGGUAAAAACUAAACAUAAUACCAGUGUUCAGUAACAACACAAAUGCUGCUGAAAGAUUUAGGUUUAAAAAAUUCAAAUGUUGAAUUCAUGUUCAACAAUUUCAAUACUACAGCAACAAGGAAACAUUUACUUGUGAUUUUUUUUUUAUCCUACAAGUGUGUUAAGUGAUCAGCAAUUUUAAUAUAUAUGCUGCCAGUUUUAAGCAAGUUUAUAUAUGUUUGAAAUUUUUUUUAAAAUAGAAGUAACUACAUGUCACUGUAUGCCAUAAGUUACGAAAUUUACUUCAAAACGGUAAGAAUUACCAAUGUUUUAUAAAUUUCAAGUGCAAAAACUUGUAAAUAGUAAUGUCCUUCAGAAGUUGUGAAACUGUUACAAAUGAUACCAUUGUUUAGUUUUGGAAAGUUAUGCUGUUAAUAGUAGGUCUCAUGACCUUGACGUCUUUCUAUGGUCAAAGCCGACAAAAAUUCCCCACUUGCAGGCUGUAGAGUGUCGCACAGCUGCCCGAAACAAGCUGUUUACACUUGCUUCCCCAAAAACAGAUUCCCUCCUUCCCCCUUAAGCAUGCAUUGUGAGAUUCCAGAAAUUUAUCCAACAUGUUAUUAAAAAUUCUUUCCGAAAAGCAACCAACCACUUAAACUUAACUUUCUGCAGUUUAGUAAAUUCAAUUGCAAUCAUAAAACAGACUAUGGCUGUUGUGAGAAAUUUGAACAUGCCUUAUACACAUUUGAAACCUUUCUGAAGUCCAUAUGCUUCCUAACAAUUAUUUAAAAAAUAUAUUUUAUACUUACGAAUAUUCUUAAAAAUGCUGAUUACGUUACCAGGCCAAAUAAUAAAAAAUAGUGUAACACCAUAUAAAAUACUACAAUUUUAAUGAUGCUCUUGCAUCAGUAAGGCCUCAAUUAUAAAUUUCAAGUUCAAUUUUAAGCACUUUCUUGCACCUUCCUGAACUUAUUUUAUUUGCAAUUUGUAAUAGUUUUGUUAAUUCAAAGUUUGUGCAUCAGCCAUUCCAAAGUAACGGACGUGACAAUCACAUACUAAAUAUUUGAAAUAUUCAUUAAACUUCUUUAUUAAAUGACAUUAACACAUUCAUGCAAUAUUUUUUUUCAAGAUUUAACUACCUAUUCUUAAAAUGUUAAAACUUAAACAGUCUGUUGUGCCACAAUAUUUAAUUACAGAUGGUAACAGAUGAAACUUUACACCUUGGACUGCUUAAAGUGUGAUCUCUGUGAUUCUAUUCAAAACAGGCAAACCUAAAUUUUGUUACAUAUUGAAGAUUUAGGCAAGCAACUGUUACAAUUCUAUUAAGAAAAUAUCCGAGUAACUGAUGUGACGGCAUAGUAAGGGAUGUGACUCAUAUUCUCUUCAUGCUUUACUUUUUGUAAUAAAAUUCUUAAUAUUUAUCAAAUUAAAUGAAAUUAAUAUAUUAAAGAAUAAAAAUGUAUUCUAAAGAAAUACACACUUUCUUAACUACACUAGCAGAUAUAUACACUAUUAGACACAAACUCUUAUUAAUCCAUUUAAAACUUACAUUCAGCUAACACACAACAUUUACUUUUCAUAUAUAUCUAACAAAGGUACUUGAAAGUGGUAUAGGAUACAAUUUCCGACAGCCUUCAUUUGUGGUGGAGGAACAAUUUUUUUUAUCUGUUCAAAUUGUAUUUAUUUGACAUGUUCAUCCAUUGUAAACAAUGUUUUGUCAGUUCCAUACGUUUUCAUGAACAUAAUUAUAACUUCACCAUCCUCUUCACAAACAUUGCUUUGACAAACCCCUAGGUAUGUGUAGGACACUCUUUUUCGGUCACUUAAUAAUUCCACAACAUAUGCAUCAGGUUUAAUGUUCACUGAUGUCACAUCAUAAACAGAUCACCUGGGAUGUACAGUAAACUCUCGAUUAUCCGGGCCUGGAUUAUCCGGUUUUCGGGUUAUCCGUGCUUGAUUUUUUUUGAAGUUGUAAAAAAAAUGACGGGUGUAGCUUUUUUUUUUUUUUUUUACUGCUGUCAGAAAGCUAUUUACCUGACCCUUCAGACCCUCGUUCCCCGCCACCUUCACCCAUCAAUUUGUCACACUUUAAACAAAAAGGAAUGCCUUGACUGCUGCUUCCGGCUCAACUCCCCCCCCCCCCCCCCCCUUUUUUUUUCAUUUUAUUUUCAAGCGUUCUUUUCACAGUGCCCUGCCACGCUAAAAAAAAAAAGUCCCUCUACCUCUUUUACCUUCCCACACUCCUGACCGCUGGAAGAGGCAUUUUUCACGCAGUUAUUUACAUCAGUUCUCCCAGGCACAUUUGUUUUUUGUAAUCAUGUAUGGUAAAAGGAAACGUAAAGUGCUGACAAUAGCAGAGAAGUUAGAAGUUGUGGACAGGUUAAAAAAAAGGAGAAACUGCCACGAAAUUAGCACAGGAAUAUGAAAUUGGAAUCCAAACCGUGCGAGACAUUAAUAAAAGUGAAGAAAAACUUUUGCAGUUUGCUAGUAGAUCAGACAGUGUGGCAGGGCCUUCUAAACGUAAAAGCAUGAAAACAUCUACCCACCCAGAUGUUCACAAUGCUUUGUAUGUUUGGUUUAGGUCGUUAAAAUGGUGGAGGGAGUUACUGAGUUGGGACUGCCGCUCUCCCUCCCCCCUCCCGUAGCAAUAAAGGGGACGGGAGAAGGGGGAGAAGGAUGGCGGCAACACAGUGCCUGUAUUGUUUACGGUCCAAUAAGCUGGGACACGGUAUAGAAGCCUUUGCUUGUACUCAUAGAAUUCUACUGAAGAGAGACUUUUUUGCCAGUAAAUACACCAUUUUUAAGUGGUGAAACGGAUUAUCCAGUUUUUUUUUAUGGGCAUUCAAUUAUCGGGGCAUCGGAAGGUCCCAAUUAACACGGAUAAUCAAGAGUUUACUGUACUUGCCUGCUGUUUUUCAUCUUCAGAAUCACUAUAUACAUCUUCAACUUGUAGUUUUACACAUUUUUCCACACCUUCAAAAACUUAAGUUCUUAACAGUUCAGACUUAGCUGUAGGGCUCACAAAAAUAUGGUUACUGUCUCAUGGUUUGAAGUGAUGCAUUGAAUGCAAGCCUUUCACGUCUAAAACAGUUGACCAUCACUCAUCCAAAAGCUUUCUGUUUUCUUAAUUGUCAUCCAUUGUUGCAUAAAAACUGUACUUUUUUUUUGCUUUCUUUGGCUCUCGGGUAAUAUUGGAAUGCAGAAUUGAUAUUUACGUCCUUCGACAACACCAUUCUCCAAAUUACCUAAUGCCCCUCCAACACCAUCCACCGCACCUUUGCUAUGGUAUGCAGCAAAUGUGUUCCACUCGACUGUAAAACCUAAAUCUUCUUCCAGGAAAGUUAAAUAUGACAUGGUGUAUUUACUGCGGGAUUAUGAUUUUGCAUUAUCAGAAAUUAUGACCAAAUUUUUCACAUUAGGAAAUUCUAAUUUCACUGCAUUACUAAUUACUUAAAGGAAGGUCCAUACUGAUAUUUUGAAUGUCUUAAAUCAUCACUAAUUACAACAAACGAUUUCACUUCAGUACCUUUCCAUACACAACGUGUAAACAAUGUCACUUGUCAUUGUUUCCAAUGGGCACUUUGUAUUUGAUUUUGGGCAGUCAGUGUUGCACUGCAAAAUCAAUUGCACCACAGCAUCACUUACACUACCUCACACCUUACUUUCUUCAAAGUAUUCAUUUUGCAACACUUUCACAAGACAAUGAGUUUUGAGAAGAGGCAACUGGUGAUUCAAUUCUGCUAGUAUGUCCUUCACACUGUUUUCUUUCUCUGUUACUUGAAGAAAACCUCAAACAUUUUCCCACUUCUUUGUUUUCAAUUUUACAUUUAAGUCUAUGCCUGGCUGCAGUAAUCUUGUCACAUCAUAUUCACAACUCUCACAUUUAUGAAACAUGCAGUCUUCAUUUCUUUCAUUGCAACACACUGCAUUCAGUAGGGUUUUGUAAGUGACAGGAAAAUUUGGUAAGUGUGAAACAGACUGUACCAAAAAUGAAAAAUUUAAAUGCUUCUUGCAUACACAGAAUGUGGUGUCUUGCUAGCAGGGAGAAUAAACUUUGGUCUGAGGAGAAAAAAUUUGGUCCUUGAUAUCUUCACAUUGGGAUAUUUCUCUGUGAAGUCUGCAUAAGCUUCACUAAUAUUCAUCAACAUGUGACGGAUUGGUAUUUGUUGUCUGAAUCCUGUAACCUUGUCUUUGAUUUGACAUCUCUUUUCCCAGGAGCUUGUCUGCUUAUUUCAUCAUGGCUGUAGAAUUCGUUUAGUCUCAAUAUUUUCAUCUGAUGUUCUUCUUUCCCUCACAUCUUUUUUGAAAAGUUUUUCACAAAUUUCGAGUUUAAAAGUAGCUUUUACAAUUUCUUGAAUUACUUGCCUUCGUUUCUUGGGACUUCUGGGCAAGGCCUGAAAUGCCUUCUUGACCGCUUUUCCUAGUGUUGAGGACAACUGUAUGUGCCCAAUCGUGACUUAACAGGGGAACAUAAAUGUGGAACCAACACUGACUGCUUGCUUAACUGUUUCCAAUUUUCAGAUUUAGUACAGGCAGAAAAUAUAAUUUACUAUAAUCGCUCUGACUUUUCCAAUUCGUAAGACAAGUUAUUCAUCACAUUUAGUCAGCAAGGAAAAUGUAGGAAAAUACGGGAACCAUUCUACACAUGUUGAAACUCUUAGAUUUAAGUUAUUGGGAAUGGAAAAUACAGAAAUGGAUGGAUUUUAGCAUUACUAAGUAUCUUUCUGUGAAAGGGACAGCUAUGUUGAGUAAUCAACUUUACUUGACUCCAUCAUGUAAGUUUCCAGAGGCAUCCCCAUGCACGUGUACGUUACUCAUCGUAAUAGUUUACCGCAGACAAUUCGGACCUCUCUCUGCUCUCUAAGCCGGCAAAAUUACAAGUCACAAGUCCAUGAUAGUUAACCUACAGAAAACUCUGCCGCUGCUUGUUUGUUACUUGUCAGUCUUCGGACUCAUCGGCUCGUUCUGGAAACAACUGAAUUGGGAAUAAUUAGCAAACGUGCAGGGCAAGUCAUAUUAAAGUAAAACAAUAGAAAAUAUUUAAAAAUUGCAAUAAAGAAUCAUUAACCAAAAAAAAAA